UACAGAGGUGGCAAGCGUUGUUCGGAAUUACUGGGCGUAAAGGGCGCGUAGGCGGCCUUGUAAGUCUUGUGUGAAAUCCCUCGGCUCAACUGAGGAACUGCACGGGAUACUGCGAGGCUUGAGUUCGGGAGAGGGAAGCGGAAUUCCGGGUGUAGCGGUGAAAUGCGUAGAUAUUCGGAAGAACACCAGUGGCGAAGGCGGCUCACUGGCCCGGUACUGACGCUGAGGUGCGAAAGCGUGGGGAGCAAACAGG
rnacentral:rRNA from 1 species